CAGCCACAUGCCUUCCAGCAGGCUGCCUCACAGGGCCCCAGGCAUGGCCUGCUCAAGCUCAUGCCAUGGGCUUUGGGUCUGAGUUUGUAGCAAACACUGGUCCUUUUGUGUGGGGCGGCCGCGCCACACUGCAUACAAAUAGAGCCUCAAUCACUGUCGGCAGCAAAAUGUUCCCUAAGUGGGCCAGACUCCCCUCUUCCACUCAUUUUUGCUUCCUUGGAUGUGGCCUCUGAGGGCCCCUCUGGGUCUUGCUCAUUUGGGUCCAUGUCCCUUUAUCCUGUAAGCACACCUUGCCCAGGACACCAGAGACAAUGCAGAGAAUAAAGCAAACCAGAUCAGAGCCUGUAUGCCGAGCCUAACUGCCUGGGGUUCAAAUCCAGGCUCUACCACUAACCAGCCGUGCCACCUCAGCUGACAACACCCCCCUGCAUGGGAUGGCGGCGCUUGGGGAUAAUGACACCCAGUGACGGCACUAUUUUCUGUUGUAUGCCUCAAACACGCUGUGAUUACCGGCAGCUUUCAGGCUUCGCUGUCACAAUCAAACACCCGGAGAGUUCCUUUGUAAAGUGGGCUCAUCUGAGGCUGUGGGAAGCCCUGGCUUCCCAGACGCUUCCUCUCCCGGGACAACGAUGGUUGCUGCCAGACUCCAGGCCACAGAUGGGGAAACUGAGGCAUAGAGGAACUACUGAACAUCUCCCUUGGGCCUCCAUGGAGCCAGCACCCGGCCUGGCACAGGUCACCCUUCUGUGUUGGGUCAGCUAAGCAUUGCUGAAUGCCUGCUGACAGACUAACCAGAGGCAGUGAUCUUAGCUGCUGGGUCGGGGCCCUGAGAACUUCCCACCAGCAGUCAGUGGAGUGCACACUGGAGACCCAGACUGGAAACCCAUGCCAAGCUAGGGGUUUGAUUCCCAGGUUCUGGACCUGAUGUUGCAGCCUGAUGCUGUGUAAAAAAACGGACAAUAGAGCAACCUCUCUAAACCUGUGUCCUCAUUUGCAAAGCAGACAGCACGGUCCAGUCAGGCUGCUGUGGAGAUGGAAAAGGCUUCAAAGUGUGGGGUGCAGCAUAGACUACACAGGGUCUCCUGGCCCCAGACACAGAGUGUGUGUGUGUGUGUGUGUGUGUGUGUGUGUGUGUGUGUGUGUGUGUGUGUGUGUGUGUGUUGGGGGUGGGGGGGAUUGUGGCUGUGGACCUGACAGUUCUAGAUGGAAACUAAAGACAGAGUGGAAAAUGCGAGCAGGAUUUGCUAUUAUGUCUCCAUUUUUACUGAUAAGGAAAUGGAGACCCAGAGAGGUGAAGUCAUUUACCUCAUUCCUCCAGCAAGAGCAGAACAAGGAACAAGGCCUCCGAGGUCCCUUUCAGCCGCCUGCUGGCUCUCUGGGUACCAGCCUUCCCACUUCCUCUCUCUCCCCUCUCCUGUCUUCACAUCCUAUACCCCAGGCCCAGGCUCCACGCUCUCCUCCCCUCCCCUUUAUCCCACUCACAGCCAGUGGAGAGCCAGACAGCCAACCUUGCUCACCCAAAGAGUGAGAAGUGCCUUUUUGUGUCUGAUUCCAAUGUUUCUUGCUAUAAAGCCAGCUUGUCCUUAUUAGCAGAUGGGGCCUCGAUCACCACCCUCCCCACCUUUUGCCACAAAUGUUUCCCUCUCCAUAGAUGUUUAUCCAGCUGGGCUGUGGGCAGCCAGGCCCCACACUGUUGGGAAUCCCCGAUUGUCCUUGAUGCAGAAGCACUAUGGGACUUAGACUCUCAGCUCUGGGGUGGGUCCUCAGACGGAACUGGUCUUACAGUGGAGUGGAGGCACAAGAAAAGCCACAGUGUCUCGGCACAGACAGAAGAAGGCACAGUUAACUUAGCCAGCCCAUCUCACUGGGAAGGACACAGGCCCAGAGCAGCUGGUCAGUUUGUCCUGAGUCACAUCCUGGCAUACAACAGGACCAGAUUUUAGCACAGGGUUGGGCUGAAUCCCCGGUUGCACCCCAAGUUGUUUAAUGGGGUGCCAGCAUGGGCUCCAGAUUCCCAGCUUCCAGAACUAAAAGUCAAAUAAACUUCCAUGUUAUUAA